AUGCAGCCAAAUGCUGUCUAUUGUAAGGACGUCUUGGACAUCGGGCGGUUCUCCGUGGUGAAGGGUGUCUACCUGGACACCACAGACGAGAGCUUCUAUGCUCAGUUUGCAACAGGGUGUGUCCCCAUCCCCUGGCAGAAAGAGAUGAUCGAGACUGAGUGUUUCAAGGACGUGAAUGACCGUGAAAAUGAGCGUCUGGAGGAGAAGUUACAUGCCCCACCUCCAAGGCCGAAGAGGAACCUCUUCUACAAGUUCUUCAGAAGAAUGUACACAGAACACACCUUACAUGUGCAGCAAGUCCUGUUCGGAACCUCCCUGGGCUGGAGCAAUGGUGUUGGCACCAGGAGAAGCUGCAGGUGGUGGAAGGAGCAGCUCUGUGGUGCAAGGCCAGCGAGCCCAUCCCUCUGUCGGCAGCCAGCGCCAUGUGCGUCUGAGCUUCGUGCAGCAGAAUGGGAGGAGGGCUGCCUGAGGACCAGCUGCUGAGAGGAAGAGAGCCCACAGGACGCUGACCGUCACCUUGCAAACCUUGGAGCCUGCCCAGUGCCGAGGCAGAGCCGUGCCCGGUGUCCUAAUAAAUGCAGCCUGCAACUUGGUGGAAAGCGUGCCUCUGUGAUUCUUCUACCUCAGUCCUGCAUUGUCUCUUCACUAACACGGGCCUGAAGCAAAGGCCCAAGAAUACAAUGUGGUACCGGAAG
rnacentral:lncRNA from 1 species